ACUCCUACGGGAGGCAGCAGUGGGGAAUAUUGCACAAUGGGGGAAACCCUGAUGCAGCCAUGCCGCGUGUGUGAAGAAGGCCUUCGGGUUGUAAAGCACUUUCAGUAGGGAGGAAGGUAGUGUAGUUAACACCUGCACUAUUUGACGUUACCUACAGAAGAAGCACCGGCUAACUCCGUGCCAGCAGCCGCGGUAAUACGGAGGGUGCGAGCGUUAAUCGGAAUUACUGGGCGUAAAGCGCAUGCAGGCGGCCUGUUAAGUCAGAUGUGAAAGCCCGGGGCUUAACCUCGGAAUUGCAUUUGAAACUGGCAGGCUAGAGUCUUGUAGAGGGGGGUAGAAUUUCAGGUGUAGCGGUGAAAUGCGUAGAGAUCUGAAGGAAUACCAGUGGCGAAGGCGGCCCCCUGGACAAAGACUGACGCUCAGAUGCGAAAGCGUGGGGAGCAAACAGGAUUAGAUACCCUGGUAGGAUAGAG
rnacentral:rRNA from 1 species